rnacentral:rRNA from 1 species
UACGGAGGGUGCAAGCGUUAUCCGGAUUCACUGGGUUUAAAGGGAGCGUAGGUGGCUUUGUAAGUCAGUGGUGAAAUCUUAGAGCUUAACUCUAAAACUGCCAUUGAUACUGCUUAGCUUGAAUCACGUCGAGGUGGAUGGAAUAUUACAUGUAGCGGUGAAAUGCUUAGAUAUGUAAUAGAACACCGAUUGCGAAGGCAGUUCACUAGGCGUGUAUUGACACUGAGGCUCGAAAGCGUGGGGAGCAAACAGG